rnacentral:rRNA from 1 species
UACGUAGGGCGCAAGCGUUAUCCGGAAUUAUUGGGCGUAAAGAGCUCGUAGGCGGUUUGUCGCGUCUGCCGUGAAAGUCCGGGGCUCAACUCCGGAUCUGCGGUGGGUACGGGCAGACUAGAGUGCGGUAGGGGAGACUGGAAUUCCUGGUGUAGCGGUGAAAUGCGCAGAUAUCAGGAGGAACACCGGUGGCGAAGGCGGCAUCCUGGACCGACACUGACGCUGAGGAGCGAAAGCCAGGGGAGCAAACGGG